rnacentral:rRNA from 1 species
GAUGAACGCUAGCGGCAGGCCUAACACAUGCAAGUCGAGGGAGAAGCCCUUUCGGGGGCAGAAACCGGCGCACGGGUGCGUAACGCGUAUGCAACCUACCUUUCACAGGGGGAUAGCCCGAAGAAAUUUGGAUUAAUACCCCAUAAUAUUAUUGAAUGGCAUCAUUUGAUAAUUAAAACUGCGGUGGUGAAAGAUGGGCAUGCGUCCUAUUAGCUAGUUGGAGUGGUAACGGCACCCCAAGGCUACGAUAGGUAGGGGUCCUGAGAGGGAGAUCCCCCACACUGGUACUGAGACAGGGACCAGACUCCUACGGGAGGCAGCAGUGAGGAAUAUUGGUCAAUGGUCGGAAGACUGAACCAGCCAUGCCGCGUGCAGGAAGAAUGCCUUAUGGGUUGUAAACUGCUUUUAUAUGGGAAGAAUAAGGCGUACGUGUACGUUGAUGACGGUACCAUAUGAAUAAGCAUCGGCUAACUCCGUGCCAGCAGCCGCGGUAAUACGGAGGAUGCGAGCGUUAUUCGGAAUCAUUGGGUUUAAAGGGUCUGUAGGCGGGCUAUUAAGUCAGGGGUGAAAGGUUUCAGCUUAACUGAGAAAUUGCCUUUGAUACUGGUAGUCUUGAAUAUCUGUGAAGUUCUUGGAAUGUGUAGUGUAGCGGUGAAAUGCUUAGAUAUUACACAGAACACCGAUUGCGAAGGCAGGGGACUAACAGACAAUUGACGCUGAGAGACGAAAGCGUGGGGAGCGAACAGG